rnacentral:rRNA from 1 species
UGGGGAAUAUUGCACAAUGGAGGGAACUCUGAUGCAGCAACGCCGCGUGCGGGAUGACGGCCUUCGGGUUGUAAACCGCUUUCAGCCAUGACGAAGCUUUUGUGACGGUAGUGGUAGAAGAAGCACCGGCUAACUACGUGCCAGCAGCCGCGGUGAUACGUAGGGUGCGAGCGUUGUCCGGAAUUAUUGGGCGUAAAGAGCUUGUAGGCGGUUUGUCGCGUCGAUAGUGUAAACACGCAGCUUAACUGUGUGCCUGCUGUCGAUACGGGCUGACUAGAGGAGGGUAGGGGAGAAUGGAAUUCCCGGUGGAGCGGUGGAAUGCGCAGAUAUCGGGAGGAAAACCAGUGGCGAAGGCGGUUCUCUGGACCUUUCCUGACGCUGAGAAGCGAAAGCGUGGGUAGCAAACAGG